CGAAUCCAUUCAAGGAGCAGCUUCUCAGGUUUCUGUUGAUGCAUCAAUACUUCAUCGACAUCAAAUGAUCCUGGACAACAUUCUUAACAGAGCAAGAUCUCAAAACGGAAACAAGAGGAGAUUUGCAGAAAAAUUAGGGACUCCAAACAUGUGGUCAGAAGAGGAGCUAGAUUCUCUUUGGAUUGGCGUGAGGCGGCAUGGAAGAGGUAACUGGGAUGUGAUGUUGAGGGAUCCAAGGCUGCGCUUUUUUUCGUGGAGGACGCCAACAGACUUGGCAGAACAGUGGAUGGAGGAACAGUCGAAACUUUUACAUGGAAAAUCCAUUUCCCCUGUGAGACAGUUACAUAAAGCUGAUGUUUCAUCCCAUGGUAUGGAUGAUGUUAAACUUUCACUUGGGCAUGCACAUUCCCAGUCAGGAGACAACAUCCGGAGCCAAAUACCAUUUCAUUUUCCAAAUGUUCAAAAUACUUCGCAAAAAUUACUUCACCUGGCUACAACAAAUGUAGGGACCUUAGAUUCUCUCUGUCUCAGGGGAAACCGCAAAAGGGCUAAGUUCAACCAAUCCGAG
rnacentral:misc_RNA from 1 species